rnacentral:rRNA from 1 species
CAGCAGCCGCGGUAAUACAGAGGGUGCGAGCGUUAAUCGGAUUUACUGGGCGUAAAGCGUGCGUAGGCGGCUUUUUAAGUCGGAUGUGAAAUCCCUGAGCUUAACUUAGGAAUUGCAUUCGAUACUGGGAAGCUAGAGUAUGGGAGAGGAUGGUAGAAUUCCAGGUGUAGCGGUGAAAUGCGUAGAGAUCUGGAGGAAUACCGAUGGCGAAGGCAGCCAUCUGGCCUAAUACUGACGCUGAGGUACGAAAGCAUGGGGAGCAAACAGGAUUAGAUACCACUGUAGUCCCUGUCUCUUAUAC